GUCAUGCUAGAGCACUUUUUCAAUGGGCUCCCCAACGACAAGGCGACAACGCAUUUGUAUGUCAUCCAUAUCAACUUUCGAUGCCACUUACUGCACCUACCACGCGUAACGGGGAUUCAGGGUUCGAUUACGGAGAGGGAGCCUGAGAAACGGCUACCACAUGCAAGGAAGGCAACAGGCG